rnacentral:lncRNA from 1 species
GCUUCAUGAAUGCACACAGUCACGUCGCAGAAGUGCCCACCCAGCUUCUGCCCAUUGAGGGUCUCAAGCAGAGAGCGUGAGAAGUUCUGCAGAUGUAUGUGGCGCACAGCCUCUACAGCCGCCGACUCCGACUCCUCUUCAGGCACCAGGCCUGGCCGUGGCCGCCUUCUCACCGACUCCAAGGCAGCACUUCCGGGCGCUUCUCUUUAUUUUUAUACAGUUUUAUUGAGAUAUAAUUUACAUGCUAUCCAGCCCAUCUAUUUCAAGUGUACCAUGCAAGGGGUUUGUAUAUAUUCACAGAGUUGUGUAUCCAUCACCAUCGUUUUAGAACAUUCAUCACUCCAGAAGAAACUACUACCCAUCAGCAGCCACUGCCCAUUUCCCUGAUCUGCCCCGCCCUAGGAAAUCCGUAAUCACUUUCAGUCUAUGGAUUUGCCUAUUCUAGACCAUUCAUAUAAAUGAAGUCACACAACACUGGGUCUUAUGUGACUGGCUUCUAUCAAAGUUUGCAAGGUUCAUUUAUGUUCAUGGGCUGACCCCACAUUGGACACCGCUGCAUCCAUGUCCAUCACACAACACAGCUGCCGUUUCUUCUGCCUGCUUAUGGGAAAGUCCCCUCUUCUCCUCCGUUUUCUUCUCUUCCUGCCCUAUCACACCGUGCACUUCUCCCUUUCCUUAAAGAACCACCAUCAACUUUAGGAGGAGGGAAAGGGGUGGCUCUGGCAGGAAAAGCCAGAAUCCCCUCUAGCCAGCAGAGAGAGAGAGGAAUGGCUGCAUGUUUUCUCCCCCAGUCCAAGGCACUGGGUCUUGGCUGGGUUGAAGGUUCCAAGCUGCUCUCCUGCUGUGUCGGUGAGUUCUGGUCAACCUGCAACCUCCUGAUAUGGCCAUUGCAGUUCAUCGAGUCUUCAGGGACUCCCCAUGGCCUGGAGUACUUUGCCUUGCUUACACGGGAGAGGAGAAUGGAUUUAUAGAGAACAUCAUCUAAAUCCAACUUGACCAUUGUGUGGCCACACUUGCUAGAUUGCUAUAGUCUAAAUCUAGCAUUGUAGAAAGACGGGGGAGCUUGGAGCUGCACAAACCCAGGUCUGGAACUGGCUCCUUACCUUGGAAGGUGAAUGAUCCUGCCAGGACUCUUAGCCUCCCUGGGUCUCAAUUUCUUUAUCUGUUUCAUGGGAAUGAGGAUCUCUGCUGGGUGGUUGGGUGAUGUGGGGGCUGUGUGAAAACAGCUUGUCAAUACAAGCCAAAAUAGAAAUAUUUCUCCACAGAGUAUGAAGGUCAAAUGAGAGAAUACAUUUAAAUUAAAUGGAAAAUUAAAAUGGUAAAAAAUGCAAAGCUGUAUUGAAAGUUCCGAGCUUCUCUAUAAGGAGCUUUUUGACUAUGUAAGAAUCCUGUACUCGUUCCCCCUAAAUAUAAAAAAAAGUUGAAGGAGGCAGAAGGGAGAGUGAUGCACGAUGGGCAAGGACUUCACCUGCUGUUGCUGGCUUUGAGGAUGGAGGAAGGAGGCCACAAACCUAGAAGCUGGAGCCCCUAGAAGCUAGAAAAGGCAGGGACCCGAUUCUUUCCUUGAGCCUCCAGAAGGGACACAGCCCCGCCAGCACCUUGACUUUAGCCUGGUGAGAUCCUCUUAGGACUUUUGGCAAUCAGAACUAUAAGACAGAAAUGGAAGCCACUGAGUCUGUAGCUGUUUGUUGCAGCAGCAAUAGAAAACUAAUGCAGGGCCCAAGAAAUCACUGGUGAUGAGAUCGGGAAAGUGGGCUCAGGAGGUCUGGAUCUGUGAUGAGAUGGGGAAAGUGGGCUCAAGAGGUCUGGAUCUGUGGUGAGAUGGGGGAAGUGGGCUCAGGAGGUCUGGAUCUGUGAUGAGAUGGGGAAAGUGGGCUCAGGAGGUCUGGAUCUGUGAUGAGAUGGGGAAAGUGGGCUCAGGAGGUCUGGAUCUGUGAUGAGAUGGGGGAAGUGGGCUCAGGAGGUCUGGAUCUGUGAUGAGAUGGGGGAAGUGGGCUCAGGAGGUCUGGAUCUGUGAUGAGAUGGGGGAAGUGGGCUCAGGAGGUCUGGAUCUGUGAUGAGAUGGGGAAAGUGGGCUCAGGAGGUCUGGAUCUGUGAUGAGAUGGGGGAAGUGGGCUCAGGAGGUCUGGAUCUGUGAUGAGAUGGGGAAAGUGGGCUCAGGAGGUCUGGAUCUGUGAUGAGAUCGGGAAAGUGGGCUCAAGAGGUCUGGAUCUGUGGUGAGAUGGGGGAAGUGGGCUCAGGAGGUCUGGAUCUGUGAUGAGAUGGGGAAAGUGGGCUCAGGAGGUCUGGAUCUGUGAUGAGAUGGGGAAAGUGGGCUCAGGAGGUCUGGAUCUGGGGUGGGGAUCUGGAGUGGAAGGGGAAUUCAUUUGUUCAUUGUCUAUCCUUUUGUAUUGAUUGAAUUUUUUAUAUAUAUAUGUGAAUUUUCACAAUAAAAUUUUUUUCC